rnacentral:rRNA from 1 species
GACGAACGCUGGCGGCGUGCUUAACACAUGCAAGUCGAACGGUAAGGCUCCAGCUUGCUGGGGUACACGAGUGGCGAACGGGUGAGUAACACGUGGGUGACCUGCCCUGCACUUCGGGAUAAGCCUGGGAAACUGGGUCUAAUACCGGAUAGGACCGCACCGUGAGGGUGUGGUGGAAAGUUUUUUCGGUGUGGGAUGGGCCCGCGGCCUAUCAGCUUGUUGGUGGGGUAAUGGCCUACCAAGGCGGCGACGGGUAGCCGGCCUGAGAGGGUGGACGGCCACAUUGGGACUGAGACACGGCCCAGACUCCUACGGGAGGCAGCGGUGGGGAAUAUUGCACAAUGGGCGGAAGCCUGAUGCAGCGACGCCGCGUGGGGGAUGACGGCCUUCGGGUUGUAAACUCCUUUCACCAUCGACGAAGGGUUUCUGACGGUAGAUGGAGAAGAAGCACCGGCUAACUACGUGCCAGCAGCCGCGGUAAUACGUAGGGUGCGAGCGUUGUCCGGAAUUACUGGGCGUAAAGAGCUCGUAGGUGGUUUGUCGCGUCGUCUGUGAAAUUCCGGGGCUUAACUCCGGGCGUGCAGGCGAUACGGGCAUAACUUGAGUACUGUAGGGGAGACUGGAAUUCCUGGUGUAGCGGUGAAAUGCGCAGAUAUCAGGAGGAACACCGGUGGCGAAGGCGGGUCUCUGGGCAGUAACUGACGCUGAGGAGCGAAAGCAUGGGGAGCGAACAGGAUUAGAUACCCUGGUAGUCCAUGCCGUAAACGGUGGGCGCUAGGUGUGGGUUUCCUUCCACGGGAUCCGUGCCGUAGCUAACGCAUUAAGCGCCCCGCCUGGGGAGUACGGCCGCAAGGCUAAAACUCAAAGGAAUUGACGGGGGCCCGCACAAGCGGCGGAGCAUGUGGAUUAAUUCGAUGCAACGCGAAGAACCUUACCUGGGCUUGACAUAUACAGGAUCGCGCCAGAGAUGGUGUUUCCCUUGUGGCUUGUAUACAGGUGGUGCAUGGUUGUCGUCAGCUCGUGUCGUGAGAUGUUGGGUUAAGUCCCGCAACGAGCGCAACCCUUGUCUUAUGCUGCCAGCACGUUGUGGUGGGGACUCGUAAGAAACUGCCGGGGUUAACUCGGAGGAAGGUGGGGAUGACGUCAAAUCAUCAUGCCCCUUAUGUCCAGGGCUUCACACAUGCUACAAUGGUCGGUACAGUGGGUUGCCAGUCCGUGAGGGCGAGCUAAUCCCGCAAAGCCGGUCUCAGUUCGGAUCGGGGUCUGCAACUCGACCCCGUGAAGUCGGAGUCGCUAGUAAUCGCAGAUCAGCAACGCUGCGGUGAAUACGUUCCCGGGCCU